UGGUCUAUGCUUUGAAGUUUUUCGCUUGAAGUGCGUACGGGGGACAAAUUGAGUUUUUGAUCUGCAUUGUAAUUUUGAAAUGGACCGGAAAUGGGCAGGAGAGUCUAUUGAUGAAACAUUGGUUAACAAUGCAUUGACUUUUCUACUCAGAGAUUGGAGAAAGCACAAGAAAAAUCGAUCCAAAACAAUGAUUAAAGAAAAUGCAACAUUAUAUAGCAUGUCGAAGCUUCAAAUUGUUGUUUGAUAUGCACAAGCAAAAUGAUCUUCCACCAUGCAUAAGUGUCUUUUUUAACAUUGGAUCCACAAUGUUAUGAUUUUCUGACGGGAGGAUAGUCAUUGUUAUACACUUAGGUUAGUUUGAUAUUUGUUAUUGCAACAGUUAUUUCCUUGUACAUUUUCUGUUCUGCCUCCUGUAUAAAGACCUG
rnacentral:lncRNA from 1 species